CCUUCUUAUGCGCUUUCUUAUUAUUAUUUUUUAUCAAUUUAAUGAUAAUAUCACAUGACAUGGUCAGUUUGCUUGCAGUCUUAAAGAAUAUUUUCCCCUGUAUUUGGUGGUUCUUUUAAAUAAUUUAUCUUUUCUGAAGGUAGAGGAUGCAGUUGCAUUUGCAAUGGCUAAAAAUCGACGCCAGAAUUUGCUAAAAACUGAUGAGGUGAAACUACCAACUGAGGGUCAAUUUGAGGCAUUUGAAUUGAGCCAAGAGGAGUCUGAAGAUGUUCGUUUUAAGCAGGUAUGAUGUUUCCUUUAUACUAACUUCUUUUGCUAAGAAAAAUUAUAAUGUUGUUAAGGCUCGAAGCUAAUUAUUUUUUUCUCUUGGCUCUUAUGUUCAAGUUUAUCUUCAUUGCAAGCAUUUUAAAAGCGAUUAGUCACAAGAAAUCUUCAGCUAGUCUUCUCCCUAGGAGUAUGGUCUUGGAUAAAGUACUUCACACUCUUAUGAUUUAGGGAAAGUAAUAACAUUGUGAGAAAACAAGUCUCUUUUUAUAUUUUAAAAAUGUAGAAUAACUUUGGUGUUGAUGGAUCUUGUACAUAUAGCAUGAGGCAGACUUGAAGGUUGUGAAAU